UUUGAGACGGAGUCUCGCUCUGUCGCCAGGCUGGAGUGCAGUGGCGUGAUCUCAGCUCACUGCAACCUCCACUUCCUAGGUUCAAGUGAUUCUCCUGCCUCAGCCUCCCUAGUAGCUGGGAAGACAGGCACACAACACCACACCCAGCUAAUUUUUUUGUAUUUUUAGUAGAGACAGGGUUUCACCAUGUUGGCCAGGAUGGCCUCGAUCUCUUGAUUUCGCGAUCUGCCCGCCUCGGCCUUGGACUUCUUAAAUUGCAAUCAUUUUAAAGGGAUGUUUGACACAUCAUGUAGCUGCAAUCCUUUUAGCUAGAGGUAACUGCUGAUAUAAAACUAUCAAAACUCAUAUGCACCUCUGUUCUGUUAAGUGUUGACAUACUGGACACUGUGUAUCUAUAGUAUAGCCUCAUUUUCCAAAUCUAAUCUAGCCUAAACCCUUUGGUGGGGCAAGAAAAGCAAGUUGUAAAAUAAUCUCUUUGUCAUAACCCUCAAGUCAUAUCUUCUGGACUUGAAAGGUACACUGGAUGUCCUAUGUGUUGGUACCUCAUGCUGCUCAGCAGGAAAUCUGAACUGUUCUCACCUCUCUGGUCCUUCUGUCUCACCAGGAGAUACACCCAAGAACAUUCUCCACAUUGUCUUAAUUCCCCUGCCUUCUGCCUUGGGUCACUCAACCCAAAUAGAAGAGACUGCACUGUUCAUAUUAGGGAUGCCUUAAUUCUAUAGUUCAAAGAUUGAAAUUUGACACAAAAAUCUACUUUUUCUAGCUCUAACAGUUCUGGUGAAUAUUAAAAGGAGGAAGACUUUUGUUAAAAAAAAUAGCCUGCAAUUCAGUAGCAUCGUCUUUAUAAGCAGAGGAUGCACAAUCACCCACUUGCUGGCCACAGCUCUGCUUUAGGUCAUCUGAAGUCGAUUACUGCAUCCUUGGAGGAUGGUGUGAAAUGCCAGUGAAAUCGUGAGCUAAUUCAAUGACAUGCCCAUUGUUCCACUCAUUUAGGCAAACGCUUUUUCUGAACAGGGAAGAUUCUCGCAUAUUCCUAGUACUAAAUUAACUCAAAAAACUUAAGAAUGAUACCCCACUGCUGCUUGUCUCUAGUUUUCAGCUUUCAUCCUGGCAGGCAAGACCCCCAGCUUCUUCUCAGUCAUAAAGUACUUGUAAGCAUUCAGAAAGGCCUAAGUUAACUAUCGUCGGGUUACACAGGUUUGGAAGCUUGAGCACAGUCUACGGCAUUUGUGGUAUGGCCUCUGUAGAUUUGAUAUCCUUAAUCAUAGAUAGCAGAUGGAGCUGUGAGACAAUGACCUUCCAGAGUCCCUUCACCAAAUCGACUUAAUGCUACUACACUUCAAAAGCAAUCACUGUCCAUCCGCUCCAGGUCAGCGUGCAGUACUGGCCAGGGGCCCGGGCUAGCAGAAAGACACUAGCUAGAGUUGAACGCUUAAUCUCCCUGCUCCCAAGUACAGACAAGAGGAGAGAGAGAGGCUCAUGGCUUUCUAGAGUUUUACGUGCUUAAGCGCUGAUAGGAGCUACCUUUUGCUGCAUGUUGGUCACUCUGGAAUAUAAGACACCUGGGACAGCAGCUAAUGUGGCUAAGGAACAGUCAGGCCAGAUUUGUUGUUAUUUAUUUAGCAGAACACAGAAUCCAAGAAUCCUCAUGAAUGCCAGUCAAAAGCAUGACUCAGGCAAAGGGAACAGACAAUAAAAGGAAUGACUUCACAUUUCACAGCAAGAAUUCUCUGGCCUCGGAGAACACUAGAUACCUCUGGACCACACAUCCCUUUGGCAAAAUACUUUUCUCAUCUACAGAUCACUGUAUGGCUUGGUUUACCUGAAGCCUCUUAUGGUUUCUCCACCUAAUAACCCUCAUGAUAUUUUUCUAGAAAAGCAGCAUAGAUGGAGAUGGAAUGUAACACCUGAAAUAAUAGGAUUUUGCAGGAAAUAAUGUAAAUCAAGCCUUUUGCCCUUAAUGACCCAUAAUAAAAUGCUCUUGUUACCAAGCUCUGCAGGCAACCCAGUGCAGGUUGCCAUGGAAACGCCCAGCUGCUCCUCUGCGCAGUUGCUUAAUGAUCAGUGUGAUGUCAGGCUCUUGAGAGAAGCACAGGCUCAGACAACUCUUUACAGCCACAGGGACAGUCCACUCGGGACUGCAGUUACGUCUGAGUGGGAGCCCCUGUGUCCAGUCAGAAGCAAGACAGAAACAGGGUGGCCGUGGCACGUUGCUGCAGAUGCCGCUUCACCAACCUGUGACCUGGCUUCCGCUCUACACAGUGCCUGCUGGAAUCAUGUACAGCGCUAGGAGGAAAGUCAAUAUGUUUUCGCAGCCUGAGUUCUCCUGAGGUUCACAGUCUAGCUGGGGAGACAGACAUGACACCUCCAUGGGCUGAGUGAGAAGAGCUACUAGUGGCACCUACAAAGUACUGAAGGCACGCAGAGGUUGAACCUUCCAGCUGUGGGCCAACAACUCCUGAUCAAAAAGGUUGUGCAGUUUCUGGUUUGAAUCUCCAGGAAGCAGAGAUGGAUGCGUAGAUUCUACAAUGGAGAGAGGACCGGUCCAUUCCCAAAGUUCCAUCCUGGACAUUGAAUAGCAUCUUGGGAGGAACCAAAAUGGGAUCCCACUCUGGAUUAAUCAUGAGGAAGACAAUUCCCAAUGAAGGGACAUUCAAAAAAAUGCCUCAAAAUUGUCAAGGUCAUCAGAAAUGAAAGACGUGAGAAACUGUCGCAGCCUAAGAAGACACAACUACUAAAUAUCAUGUGGCAUCCUGGAUGAGAUCCUGGAACAGAAAAAGGAUGUUAGGUGAAAUCUAAGGAAAUCUUAGAUUUCCUUAGUAUGAACUGAAAUUAAUAAUAAUGUGUCAACAUUGGUGAAUUAAUUGCAGCAAAUGUGCCGUGAUGUAAGAUGCUAAUAACAAAGGAGACAGAGCAUGGAGCAUAAGAACUGUCUUUGCAAGUUUUCUGUAAAUCUAAGACUAUACUAAAAAGUCAAGUUUAUUUUUUAAAAAGUACUUCUGUUUCCUGUAAUAAUGUAAGACAGAUUAGGGGAGAGCCAUAUAACAAAGUCUAGAAUCAAUUGAAGUGGCAUCAUAAAGCUAAAUUCCAGAAAAAUGUGUACCAUCUGGCUUCGUGGAACCCAAAUGUGCUGGCUUAGUGCUAAAGUGGCAGCCAGGAAGGGUUUAAAUGGUGUUAUCAUUAAUACAUAUUUGGCAGCAGGAAUUUCCAUUAUUAGCAGCUGAAAAAACAUGCCGUGGAACACUUGAACAGAACUGUACAGGAAAAUACAAACUCUCCCACUUUGCUCUCUUUAUGCAGCUGACAUCUCCUGAGAAACAAAGAGCCGAGUUUUUCUUUUCAGAGCCUGCAAGAUUUAUUUCUUUUAGAAAAAUCUACCUUUAAUUACUGUAGAAUGCUCCCUAAUGCUCAAAGACUCCUGAGCUCAUUGGAUGCCUCAGGACUAAGAACUGGGCUUUGUUAUUAUUAUUUAGAAAACAAACAGGUUCAGAGAGGGUCAGUAAUUUGCUCUGAAUCCACAUCUGGUAAGUUGUGGAAUUGGAACUUGAACCUAGGUCUUUCAAAUAAAAACUGAAUGUCCUUUAUACAACUAAAAAUUAUUUGAUACAUUUUUUGUCCUGUUGUUUGGGCACAUGUUAGCGGACAUCAGACAUCCAAAACAAAAACGUCACCUUCUGAUGAGUGAAGGCAGCAAGAUGGGCUUUGGCCUUCCCAAUGGGUGUCGACACUAACCAGAAAAUUCUCCUGAGCAACACUGAGCCUCGGUUCUAUCAUUUAUCUUCUUCUUUCAGUUUGUCCCUCAAAUGCUUUCACCAUCUCUGUUUCUUGUAUUAAUCUGAUCAUUUUUGUCUUUGAUUUCUGCACAGCUGGUGAAGUCACUCUUCACCUUAUUUGGUUCUCCUUCCACACUGCAUUUCAGCUUUAAUCACCUCUCUCAUCUGCCUGACGCUGAGACCCUAGUCCCUGUUCCUGUUUGCCGUGGUCUUGACCACAUGACAAAGAGUAUUAGACUAUCAGAGAAGACCCAAAUGCUAUUUUGAUUCGAAAAUCUGCACUAUUUUCAAAGGUUCACUGGGAAACUGGAGUACUUGAUAAUUCAGAGUUAUUAAGAAUAUCUAAUUCUGCCUAAUCUCUCUUAUGUGGGAGAUACGGUUUAAUAUGUAUCACUUCUAAUGAAAGGAGAUGAGGAAUUGGGUCAUUCCUUUCAAUUUCACAGUAAUAUUUCACUGACCUCUAAAAAUACCUCCUAUUAAAAUGUAUAGAAACCAAUUCUUGGGCAGAACUCAGACUUGAAUAGAAGCAGAGAAUAAUACUGCACAUUAGAAGAAGAAAUGUCUCUUCUGAAUAGGACCUUAGGUUUUAACAAUCCAACCAACUCAGAAACAACGGGACACUUUGAGAUAUACUUAGAUCUCUGUCAGCGAGUUUUCCAAAAGAAGUCAGGGCCACCCUUACUGGGGAUGUUGUCAAAGAGAUUCAUAUUUUACACAUUGGGGUGAAGGGCCUGGGGAAAUGUUGAUCACUUCAUGCAAAUUCGUGAAGCGUUCCAUAUUUUAAAAAAAAAAAGAAAGAAAUUACUUUUUUAAACCUACAUAUAAAAUGAGAUUUUAUAUUGAGUCACUCUAGCCUAUUAAAACUCAUCUCAAUUUUUGUUACCAGAGUGCUAUUUUCAUCGUGCAACACUUUGCAAAUUCUCAUUGCCCUCUGCUAAUAAUUCUGAAUUUGAAUCUAUAUCCUCUUAGAGAGAGUGAGAUCUUUGCACUUCUAAAGGUUGCAGAGCCAGUGGCUUUGUCUCCAUGUGACUGUGCACUGAAGGGUAAUGUUCUCAUGCCUCAAGGGGCAGCCAGAUAGCCUGGGGAAGAGCAAUGGAAUGGAGCAUGCUGAGAGAGCCAAGGCCUGGAAUUAGGGAGUAGGGAGAAAUGUUGGCUACAGGCCCUGGGAAGUAUAGUCUAGCAGAUAGAAUGCUAUAUCCAAGGGUAGGGAAAUAGAUACGGGGGAAGGGGGUUGGAGGUGGAGAGAAUGUGUUGGAAGCAAAGAUCUCAAAGCAAUGUAGUAGGAAAAUUAUGAAAGACAACCAGAGAAAAGCAAUGAAGACUGAAGGAUAGAAUAAUAGUCAUUUCAUGAAAGGGCUGUAUAUGUAAAGCAACCCCCAAAAUGCAGAAGGAACUUGAUAACCAAAGAAGGAGGCACACAAGUCCUGCUUGCAUUAUAGAGAGAUUUUAUUGGGGAACUUACAGACAGAAGCAUGGUUUUAGGUAGAUGCAAGCCAGGUAAACCUCCUUACCAUCACCCCCAGACCCAGGGAUUAUAUACCAUAGGAAAAGGGUACACAUACUUCAGAGGGAAUGGGAAGGACUUUGAUCUAAGGGUAGGAUUUAUGGGAAGUAUGAGUUUAUGAAGGUUGAUUUGAUCUAAGGACAGGAUUUAUGGUAACUAUGUGCUCUUACACAAGAAGCAAAGAUAAACUGGAAAUCUCAGAGUCAAUCCUGGAAAGGGGGUUAAUCAGAAGUCAAUAUGGCGGAUUCGCUUCCAAGAUGGAGUCACUUUAACCUUCACAUCAGGAGUCUGGGAAGACAGAAAAUAAGCACGUAGAAGAGUUUCACCGUCUAUGUUGGGCUUAAAAAAAUAAGACUGUGGUCCCAGAUUAGUCCUUGUGGCCAAAGAACAAAGAAGUGGGCAGGCAAGAAUGAGGCAAGAGUCAAUAUAAGAGACAAUGCCAAGGCCAGGCGCAGUGGCUCACACCUGUAAUCCCAGCACUUUGGAAGACCGAGGCAGGCAGAUCACCUGAAGUCAGGAGUUCGAGACCAGCUUGGCCAAUGCAGUGAAACCCCUUCUGUACUAAAAAUACAAAAAUUAGCUGGGCAUGGUGGCGCAUGCCUGUAAUCCCAGCUACUCAGGAGCUGAGGCAGGAGAAUUGCUUGAACCCAGGAGGCAGAGGUUGCAGUGAGCCAAGAUCGGGCCAGUGCAUUCCUGCCUGGGCGACAGAGCAAGACUCUGUCAAAAAAAAAAGAGAGAGAGAGAGAGAGAGAGAGACAAUGCCAAUGGCCAGAGAGCAAAACAGGGGUUAUCAGGGACUAGGGGUAAGGAGUGGGAAAAUGAGGAGUUGUUUAAUGGGUUCAGAGCUCAAGUAUGGGAUGAUGAAUAGCUUCUAGGGAUGGAUGGGAGUGAUGAUUGCACAGCAGUGUAAAUGUACUUAGUGCCACUCUACUACACACUUAAAAAUGGUCAAAAUGGUAAAUUUUAGCUUAUGUAUAUUUAAUACAAAAAAAUUUUAAUGAAUUUUUUUAAAAAGAGAGACAGUGGCAGCAUCAGAUUUCCAUCACAGAAACUCAGGUACUAGCAACAACGGAGAAGCCCAAUUCUCAGAACUGGCAUGUGAGGUGGAGACUAGAUCUUGGGUGACAGAAGGGCCUGUGUGCAAUGCGGAGCUCAAGGUCAGAACGGACCAGAGGUACAUCUGACUGUGUGCAGUGAUUUAGGGCAUGUGCUGGAACACUUGACUGCUGCUUAAACCCGGGAAAUGGCUGAGUCUGAAAGUGGACUUAAGUAGCCUCAGCUAUGGACGUCAAGGAAGUCUAAAAAGGCUGGGUAUUGGGCAAGACUAAUACAUGUUGGUUCUUUGUAAUCUCAUUUUCCU